rnacentral:misc_RNA from 1 species
UUUUGUUGGAGUGAUUAAAGAAUGGCUACGAAUAAUUAUUUUGGAUUUACUCAUGGUGGAACGCAGUAUGGACCUAUCAUCCUCAGAGCAACCACUGGAGCCUACCAAGCGGGUCAGGCUGGUUACGCUGUAGCUACUCCUGCGACUGCAGCUGCUGCAGCUACGUACGGUACCCAAAGACCCACCAGCUAUGACACAGCCUAUCAGGCUGCAGCUGCAGCCAGCCAAGGCACUUAUGCUGCUGUAGGAACCACUGCAACUCCCGCCUAUGAGUAUGGAUAUGGUCAAACAGCUGCAACUGGUUACACAAGUGGUUAUGAUCAAACAGCUGCUGCUGCAGCAGCUGUAGCAGCAGCUGCAAAACCUGCUUCCUAUGCCACUACUUAUACACAGAGAACUACCUCACAGCAGGCACAACAAGCAGCAGCAUUUCAGUCAGCUGCUGUCGCUGCUGCGGCCGUGGUCAAGCAGCCUGCACAGUACACGGCCACAUACCAGCCCACUGCAACAGCUUACCAGACUACCUACCCCCAACCAGCUGCUGCACAGACUACAAUAGCUGCUCAACCUACAACACAAGCCAAACAGACUAAUUCUACCACAACAUAUUCAGGAUACGAUGCUGCCCUGUAUUCAGCAGCUACCAUGUAUGUAGCCCAACAGUCAGGCACUGCCCAACAUAAAGCUGUCGGCUGGCAAAACUACAAGAAACCAGGUAUCGGUGCGAAAACUGCAAGACCAAAGGCACCCCCAAAACCUCAACAGUUGCACUAUUGUGAUGUUUGUAAAAUCAGUUGUGCUGGUCCCCAGACUUACAGAGAACAUUUAGAAGGACAAAAACACAAGAAACGAGAAGCAGCCACUAAAAUGGCAGCCUCUGUUGCUGUUACUACUCAAAACCGUGCUGGGAACUCUCUAAGAUGUCAGUUAUGUGAUGUAACUUGCACAGGUAAUGAUGCUUAUGCUGCCCACAUCCGUGGGGCGAAACAUCAGAAGGUGGUAUUGCUACACACCAAGCUAGGCAAGCCCAUACCUCCACAAGAACCAGAAGUUCUUGGAGGAUCAAAGAAAUCAGUUUCUUCCACUCCUAAAAUCAACUUUGUAGCAUCAGGAGGCUUAGGUGUGGCUGCUGGGAAUGGAGAUGCAUCAAAGGAUGAAGACGAUGAUAUAAUAGAACCAGAUAUACAGCCUGUAGGACAAGAUUAUAUUGAGGAGAUCAAGAGUGAUGAUGGCAAAGUUAUAAGCUUCAACUGCAAAUUGUGUGAAUGUAGAUUUAACGAUCCAAAUGCUAAGGAAAUGCACAUGAAGGGCAGAAGACAUAGGUUGCAGUACAAAAAGAAGGUCAAUCCUGAAUUAGUAGUUGAUGUUAAGCCAUCGUUGAGACAAAGAAGAAUCCAGGAAGAGAAACUGAGAAGAGCUCAACUAAGAGAAGAAUUCUGGGCUCGUCGUCAUUAUCCUGAUGUAAAUGAAAGUCUCUAUUGGGAAGAACAAAGAAGAUAUGAAGAUGAAUAUAUGAUGGGCCACGGAAAUAUGCCUUUCCAAAGAGGAAGACCCUUCCCUGGAGGUCAAGGUCCACCCUUUUUCCAGGGUGUUUUGAGUCGUAGAGCUGAAUCUAGCGAUGAUAAACAUGUAAUGGCGAGACAUGCUGAAAUUUAUCCCAAGGAGGAAGAGCUACAGGCCAUCCAACGCAUCGUUUCCCAUACAGAGAGGGCACUGAAGGUUGUAUCAGAUCAAAUGGGUGACGGCAAGAAUAAAGCUCCAGAAGCGAAACCAGAUGAAAAGGCAGAACCACAACAAAAAGAGGAUGGACGUGACAAUCAACUCUUCUCUUUCCAACAAGGCGAUCAGAACCGCAUUCUAAAAGGCGUUAUGCGUGUAGGACAUCUUGCUAAAGGUCUUCUCCUUCGAGGCGAUACAAAUGUUGAAUUGGUGGUACUAUGUGCUGAUAAACCCACCCUCACUCUUCUCAAGAAAGUCGUCGAAAUCCUUCCAUCAGCUCUGAAGCAAGUGGCCCCAGAGAGCGCCUACACCGUGGCCAUCAACGCUUCCGAGGCAGGCUUGAUCAUCGCUGGAGACAGUUUGACGGUGUUGGUACAGUUCACCAGUCCCGUAAUUCGGGAACAACCAGGCAAGGGCUCUUGGUCUGCAUUCCUGUGUCAUCAUCAUUCGUAUACUGAGAGAUUUAUGCCAGAGAGUUCCUACUUGGUCGCCGUUGUCUCCAUGGGCCAUGGAACUGCUUGCCGAGAAAGUGAUCUCGUCAGUGCCUGGACAAGCCCAGCUGUCACCAGGAGAUGCCCUACGACGCGUCAUGGAAGCGGUGGCUAGCGGUCUGCUUCUCCCGGGCGGUCCCGGUUUGGCUGAUCCGUGCGAAAAGGACAAUCCCGACGCUUCCGGAGCAUUGAACGCUCAACAGAGGGAAGAUCUCACCUGUUCCGCACAAUACGCGCUUAGAUUAAUAGCUUAUAGACAAAUAUACAAGGUAUUAGGUAUGGAUCCUUUACCAGCACCUCAGAAAUCGUUCAGGAGAGUUGGAAUCACGCGGAAAAGACGUCUAUCGGGUUCAGGUCAAGAUGGUUCAGAAAGUGAUACAGGAAAGAUGGUGAAAACACAGAAUUAGUUAGUUAAAUUAUAUUUUUACAUCUCUUGAAGUAUUUUACUGUAUAGGCAUAUAAGUAACUAAUUAUGUUUAUUUAACUUAGUUCUUUGUGAUUGAUUUUUUAGUUCUUUUUUACUUAGUGUUAUAUAUCUAAUCUGGUCUAAAGUAUUACUGAACAUUCAGUAAUGAGUUGAAUGUAUUUCUUUCUAUUUCAUUAUGGAGUUGAAUGUAUUUGACGAGCGAAGUUGUUUCCUAGAAGCUACAAAAUAAAUAUUGAGCCGUGA